rnacentral:lncRNA from 1 species
GGGCAAUAAGAGUUAUGCCCCGAUCUCUAAAUUAAGGUAAAUUCCUAAAUCUUUGUUUUUAAGUUGUCAUGUAUUAGAUAUAGUUGAGAAAUUUAGGAUUCAAAGCAAUUCGAAUAUUAGAGCUUUAAAAACAUAAGAAUUUAAUGAUAAUUUAUUUUUUUUUAUGCUGAUGGUUGAUCAAAGAUAUAUUGGAAUUAUAUCAUUAAGUGGACAUGCUAGUCAUGAAUUG